rnacentral:lncRNA from 1 species
GGAAGGGUGGAGCCUCAUCUUCUCUGAAACCCUUGUUCACACUGGUGUGGGCUUGGACCAGCCUAGAGAAGCAAUGCCCUUCUGUCAUGUCUCUAGACCCAGAAUGAGCCUUUGGGACAGAAACUGAGGAGGAGUAAGUUGGGGUACAAGGGAUGCUUUGGCUUUCUAAUUUAUGUUCACACCAAAUGGGGGUGCAGCUCAGAAGAUGCCCAGCUUAUCCAACCCCCCUUCAAGCAAAAGGAAGGAGUCCUUAAGGGCUCUAAAGAUGGCUCUCUGAGAUGCCUCAGGAAUGACCAACUUGUCCUCCUGCUGCUUCAUGGCCUUUCAGCCACACCCUCUUGUGUCAUCCUAUUGUAUCCUAUUCCAUCUCCUCUGAUGUGCUCAUCAUGUUUUGUAGAUGCCUGAUCCUCAGGUUAUUUCAGAAGGCAAAAGGUUUGGUCUAAUGAUUUAUGCGGGUGUGGUAUAAAGUGAUCCUACAGCACACUUGCGAAGGAGCAGAGUGGACAGCCUUCCCUGGUUUUCUGGGCUCACAGGAGAGGCUCGCUGGGAAUACAGCAUCCAAGGAGGGGGCCAUCAGGAUGCACAGCUGCUUCUCAAUGGGAAAGAAAUGCUCAGCGGG